UUAUUACUCCCUCCGUCCUGAAAUAAGUGACGUGAAUUUGUAUAAGAAUCUAUGCAAAUCCACGUCACUUAUUUUGGGACGGAGGGAGUAUUUA
rfam:Brachypodium distachyon strain Bd21 chromosome 2, whole genome shotgun sequence.